rnacentral:rRNA from 1 species
UACGUAGGGUCCAAGCGUUGUCCGGAUUUAUUGGGCGUAAAGAGCUCGUAGGCGGUUCGGUAAGUCGGAUGUGAAAACUCAGGCUCAACCCGGAGACGCCAUCCGAUACUGCUGUGACUGGAGUCUGGUAGGGGAUCACGGAAUACCUGGUGUAGAGGUGAAAUUCGUAGAUAUUCGCAAGAACACCAGUGGCGAAGGCGGCUCACUGGCCCGGUACUGACGCUGAGGUGCGAAAGCGUGGGGAGCAAACGGG